CAACCCGGAUGAUUCUUUGCAUUCAGGCCCAUUCAAGCAGGACUCACCUGCUGGGACAGAAUCAUCAGCAGCAGCAGCAUCAGGAGGUUUCCCAUUGUGGUCAACGAGCGCCCUCUGCUGGACUGGCGUUGUUUGAGCACAACAACAGGGUGCCGGUUUUGUUCCAAUUAGCACUGACGGCCUUGGUGGAGGCCUCCUGCCAAUUUUAGUGAUGACAAAGAGAUUACGCUUUAGAAAACUUGCAGUUUAUUUAAUUAUUCAUUUUUACUUGGAAUAAAAAAAAAGUGCAUUGGUGAACAUUUUCUUUCUUUGUGCAGUUCUCUGGGACCCCCUCCUGUUAUAAAUAGGUACAAAAUCGAUUAUUUGAGCUUCACAUCAGGCAUGUUAAAAUCGUCUUGGUCAGCAUCACCGAGAAGCGUGUUGAAUAAAUUAAGCCAAA